UGUGUGUGUGUGCUGCUAACAGGGAAACCUUCCGCAUAUAAGUAAGGUAUUUGUCCCAGGGGCGGUUGCACACUUCGUCUUCCACAUGUCUGUCCAAGUGCACACAAGGAAAAACACGCAGACUGACAGGCUCAUGUGUGGUGACACCAACUCUGCUGAUUGGUUGGGAAGCUGCAGCAAAGGGGUUUUAUUCCCAAAUAAUCCACAUUACGUACAGCAGUGGCAGCAACACCUGACCUUGCAGCAUCUCCCAACUGGUAAACUGGGAUAUCCAAACCACCUCCUGAUGCACCAUACAGCAUUUCUGUAUCUCAGUAUCUUGCAUCCCUUUCUGUUAGACGCCUCCACUUUUGGUCCCAAAUGUCAAGAUUGCUCUCAAAAAUAGUAUUGAUUGUUUGCAAAUGUGACACCAAAUUCACAAAAAAAUCUUUAGUCUUUAGUUGCAAAACGUUUGAGUCUAUUUUUUUUUAUCAAAAAAAUAUUUUUUCUUUUAACACUCUCCGUAUAUAUAGCAAGGUGCUGCUUUAAAAAUGUAUAACUAUGUAAUAAUUAUUUACAUUAAGAGGAAUGAGCGCUACAUUUUGUUUAAAUAUAUUUUACACUAUGCAAUGUUUACUGCUGCAUAGAAUGUUGCAUGUUACAAUAAUAUCAGAAGAGGGCGCUGUUCAGUAUGACACUUUAUAUAAGAGUGUAUACUGCUGUAUAAUUGUUGCUGAGUUUUACUAUUGAUGUUUUGGGUGUCAUUUAUAAUCUCUGCGCAGGUUACGUAUAACAGCAGUCUCCCAUUGGAGCUAUAUUCUCUCACGCUUACCAUAUUUGUUGAUUUUUGCUAUGUUAUCCGCUUUGUGGAGAUGUAGAAAGACAAAUACUAUUACAAAAGUGCUGUUAAAUCACCACAAAUAAUUUGACAAUACAAAGAAUUACAUGAUCUCCCGGAAUUAUUCCUCACAUUACAAAAAUUUAUAAUUUUUUUUUAUCUCCCCGGAAUUAUUCCUCACAUUAAAAAAAUCAUAUAUUUUUUUAUGUACUAGAAGAGAACAAUGGCAAAUGUAAUUGACGAAAACAUUUCAAUAAAGAUAUGUGGAUUCAGGGAGAGAGAGCUCUGUGAACAAUAAGGCCUAGAAGACUAAUAAAGUGUUUAAUUAGCAAGUAGAAUAGUAAUUGAAAACAUGAAAUUUAGCAAUCUAGAAAUCUGUCCUUUAUGUGAGAGUUGUCAUUAUAUUUUUUUUUAUAAAGUUUGAAAUGCCAGAAAAUAUUUGCACCAAUUGUAAGUUAAUAGAACAGUGUUAGAUUGAAAGUCUCUAAAUCAGUUUAUA